UACGGGGGGUGCAAGCGUUAUUCGGAAUCAUUGGGCGUAAAGGGCGCGUAGGCGGUCUCUUAUGUCAGAUGUGAAAUCCCUCGGCUCAACCGAGGAAGUGCAUUUGAAACUGAGAGACUUGAGUAUGGGAGAGGGAAGCGGAAUUCCUGGUGUAGCGGUGAAAUGCGUAGAUAUCAGGAGGAACACCGGUGGCGAAGGCGGCUUCCUGGACCAAUACUGACGCUGAGGCGCGAAGGCGUGGGGAGCAAACAGG
rnacentral:rRNA from 1 species